GGUCAAGCAAUUAAGCGUACGUGGUGGAUGCCUUGGCAGCCAGAGGCGAUGAAGGACGUGGUAGGCAACGAAAUGCUUCGGGGAGCCGUCAAACAGGCUUUGAUCCGGAGGUGUCCGAAUGGGGAAACCCGGCCCACUUGUGGGUCAUCCCUUACUGAAUACAUAGGUAAGGGAGGCGAACGCAGGGAACUGAAACAUCUAAGUACCUGCAGGAAAAGAAAUCAAUUGAGAUUCCCUAAGUAGCGGUGAGCGAACGGGGAAAAGCCCUUAAGCAACAGCAGUGUUAGUGGAACGGUCUGGAAAGUCCGGCGACAGUGGGUGAUAGCCCCGUACACGAAAGCACUGCAGUUGUGAAAACGAGUAGGUCGAAACACGUGUAAUUUUGACUGAAGAUGGGGGGACCAUCCUCCAAGGCUAAAUACUCCUGGCUGACCGAUAGUGAACUAGUACCGUGAGGGAAAGGCGAAAAGAACCCCGGAGAGGGGAGUGAAAUAGACCCUGAAACCGCGUACGUACAAGCAGUCGGAGCAGGCAUUGCGUCCUGUGACGGCGUACCUUUUGUAUAAUGGGUCAGCGAGUUAAUGUCAGUAGCAAGGUUAACCGUAUAGGGGAGCCGUAGGGAAACCGAGUCUUAACUGGGCGUUUAGUUGCUGGCAUUAGACCCGAAACCGGGCGAUCUACCCAUGGCCAGGUUGAAGGUGCCGUAACAGGCACUGGAGGACCGAACCGGGAUCUGUUGAAAAAGAUUCGGAUGAGCUGUGGGUCGGAGUGAAAGGCUAAUCAAGCUCGGAGAUAGCUGGUUCUCCUCGAAAGCUAUUUAGGUAGCGCCUCGUGGAAUUGACUGCUGGGGGUAGAGCACUGUUUCGGCUAGGGGGUCAUCCCGACUUACCAACCCGAUGCAAACUCCGAAUACCAGUAAGUUUUAUCACGGGAGACAGACGGCGGGUGCUAACGUCAGUCGUCAAGAGGGAAACAACCCAGACCGCCAGCUAAGGUCCCAAAUAUCAGUUAAGUGGGAAACGAUGUGGGAAGGCUUAGACAGCUAGGAGGUUGGCUUAGAAGCAGCCAUCCUUUAAAGAAAGCGUAAUAGCUCACUAGUCGAGUCGGCCUGCGCGGAAGAUAUAACGGGGCUCAAACUGAUAACCGAAGCUGCGGAUGUGUGCUUAGGCACAUAUGGUAGAGGAGCGUUGUGUAGGCCGUUGAAGGUGAAUCGAGAGGUUUGCUGGAGGUAUCACAAGUGCGAAUGCUGACAUGAGUAACGAUAAGGGGGGUGAAAAACCUCCCCGCCGGAAGAUCAAGGUUUCCUGUCCAACGUUAAUCGGGACAGGGUGAGUCGGCCCCUAAGGCGAGAGCGAAAGCUGUAGUCGAUGGGAAAUCGGUUAACAUUCCGAUACCGGCUGUUACUGCGAUGGAGGGACGGAGAAGGCUAGGCCAGCGCGGCGUUGGUUGUCCGCGUUUAAGGUAGUAGGCUGGGAUUUUAGGUAAAUCCGGAAUCCUAAGGCCGAGAGCUGAUGACGAGCUUACUUUUAAGUGAGCGAAGUGGUUGAUGCCAUGCUUCCAGGAAAAACUUCUAAGCUUCAGGUAACAGACGACCGUACUGUAAACCGACACAGGUGAUCAGGUAGAGAAUACCAAGGCGCUUGAGAGAACUUGGGUGAAGGAACUAGGCAAAAUGGUACCGUAACUUCGGGAGAAGGUACGCUCCUUUUGGUGAAGCAUUUACUGCGUAAGCUAAGAGGAGUCGAAGUGACCAGGUGGCUGCAACUGUUUAUUAAAAACACAGCACUCUGCAAACACGUAAGUGGAAGUAUAGGGUGUGACGCCUGCCCGGUGCCGGAAGGUUAAUUGAUGGGGUUAGCUUCGGCGAAGCUCUUGAUCGAAGCCCCGGUAAACGGCGGCCGUAACUAUAACGGUCCUAAGGUAGCGAAAUUCCUUGUCGGGUAAGUUCCGACCUGCACGAAUGGCGUAAUGAUGGCCACGCUGUCUCCACCCAAGACUCAGUGAAAUUGAAAUCGCUGUUAAGAUGCAGUGUACCCGCGGCUAGACGGAAAGACCCCGUGAACCUUUACUAUAGCUUCACACUGGACUUUGACACUAUCUGUGUAGGAUAGGUGGGAGACUUUGAAGCGCUAGCGCUAGCUAGCGUGGAGUCGCCCUUGAAAUACCACCCUGGUAUUGUUGAGGUUCUAACUCAGUCCCUGAAACGGGGACGAGGACCGUGUGUGGUGGGUAGUUUGACUGGGGCGGUCUCCUCCCAAAGCGUAACGGAGGAGCACGAAGGUACCCUAAGGGCGGUCGGAAAUCGCCCAUUUAGUGUAAUGGCAUAAGGGUGCUUGACUGCGAGAGCGACGGCUCGAGCAGGUGCGAAAGCAGGUCAUAGUGAUCCGGUGGUUCUGAAUGGAAGGGCCAUCGCUCAACGGAUAAAAGGUACUCCGGGGAUAACAGGCUGAUACCGCCCAAGAGUUCACAUCGACGGCGGUGUUUGGCACCUCGAUGUCGGCUCAUCACAUCCUGGGGCUGAAGCCGGUCCCAAGGGUAUGGCUGUUCGCCAUUUAAAGUGGUACGCGAGCUGGGUUUAGAACGUCGUGAGACAGUUCGGUCCCUAUCUGCCGUGGGCGUUGGAGAUUUGAGAGGAGCUGCUCCUAGUACGAGAGGACCGGAGUGGACGUUCCUCUGGUGUUCCGGUUGUCACGCCAGUGGCAUUGCCGGGUAGCUAUGAACGGACAGGAUAACCGCUGAAAGCAUCUAAGCGGGAAGCCUCCCUCAAGACGAGAUCUCCCUGGGGCCUUGUGCCCCCUAAAGUGCCGUUCGAGACCAGGACGUUGAUAGGCUGGGUGUGUAAGGGUUGUGAGGCCUUGAGCUAACCAGUACUAAUUGCACGUGAGGCUUGACCAU
rnacentral:rRNA from 1 species